CCUACGGGAGGCAGCAGUGGGGAAUAUUGGGCAAUGGGCGCAAGCCUGACCCAGCAAUGCCGCGUGAAGGAAGAAGGCUUUCGGGUUGUAAACUUCUUUGACAGGGGAAGAGCAGAAGACGGUACCCUGAAAACAAGCCACGGCUAACUACGUGCCAGCAGCCGCGGUAAUACGUAGGUGGCAAGCGUUGUCCGGAUUUACUGGGUGUAAAGGGCGUGUAGCCGGGAAGGCAAGUCAAGGGUGAAAUCCCCGCGCUCAACGUGGGAACUGCCUUUGAAACUGGCAAACUGGAGUGUGUGAGAGGAUAGUGGAAUUCCAGGUGUAGGAGUGAAAUCCGUAGAUAUCUGGAGGAACAUCAGUGGCGAAGGCGACUAUCUGGCACAUAACUGACGCUGAGGAGCGAAAGCGUGGGUAGCAAACAGGAUUAGAUACCCUUGUAGUC
rnacentral:rRNA from 1 species